UCCUCCACACCAUGCCACAUAAGAGGGGGCGAGCCCCUCUAGGAUUUGGUGCCCAAUUCUUGCCAAAAGAGAAGAAAGGUGCCACCCAAUCUUCCAUCUAUUCCACUUGCACACUUAGAGAUAAUUAGGAGAUAAAGAAGAGAUAAUGUUAGGAUAAUUAUGCCAACUAAUUGACUUAAUCAAAUCUUCUUGGGCUCAUAAUUAAGAGCUCAAUUAAAUUCAAAUAGAUUUAGGUUAGGUUCAAGGCUAUGGACUUGAUCAAAUCAAAGUUUCGAGAAGAAUU
rnacentral:lncRNA from 1 species